GGACCCGCACAAGCGGUGGAUUAUGUGGAUUAAUUCGAUGCAACGCGAAAAACCUUACCUACCCUUGACAUGUCCGAGAGCCCGGUGAGAGCUGGGUGUGCCCGAAAGGGAAUCGGAACACAGGUGCUGCAUGGCUGUCGUCAGCUCGUGUCGUGAGAUGUUGGGUUAAGUCCCGCAACGAGCGCAACCCUUGUCAUUAGUUGCUACCCGCAAGGGAGCACUCUAAUGAGACUGCCGGUGACAAACCGGAGGAAGGUGGGGAUGACGUCAAGUCCUCAUGGCCCUUAUGGGUAGGGCUUCACACGUAAUACAAUGGCGCGUACAGAGGGUUGCCAAGGGGCGACCUGGAGCCAAUCCCUUAAAGCGCGUCGUAGUCCGGAUAGGAGUCUGCAACUCGACUCCUUGAAGUCGGAAUCGCUAGUAAUCGCGGAUCAGCAUGUCGCGGUGAAUACGUUCCCGGGUCUU
rnacentral:rRNA from 1 species